UACGGAUGGUGCAAGCGUUAUCCGGAUUCACUGGGUUUAAAGGGUGCGUAGGUGGGCAGGUAAGUCAGUGGUGAAAUCUCUGGGCUUAACCCGGAAACUGCCGUUGAUACUAUCUGUCUUGAAUAUAGUGGAGGUGAGCGGAAUAUGUCAUGUAGCAGUGAAAUGCUUAGAUAUGACAUAGAACAUCGAUUGCGAAGGCAGCUCGCUACACUAUGAUUGACACUGAGGCACGAAAGCGUGGGGAUCAAACAGG
rnacentral:rRNA from 1 species